rnacentral:rRNA from 1 species
UACGGAGGGGGCAAGCGUUACUCGGAAUUAUUGGGCGUAAAGGGCGCGUAGGCGGUUCCGUGCGUCAGAGGUGAAAUCCCCGGGCUUAACCCGGGACGUGCCUCUGAUACGGCGGGACUUGAGUCCGGGAGAGGGGAGCAGAAUUCCCAGUGUAGCGGUGAAAUGCGUAGAUAUUGGGAGGAAUACCAGUGGCGAAGGCGGCUCCCUGGACCGGUACUGACGCUGAGGCGCGAAAGCGUGGGUAGCAAACAGG